rnacentral:siRNA from 1 species
GGAGAUUCUGCACUCAAAGAUGG